CACAGAAAACUUGGGAAAUACAGAAAAUCACCAAGAAAAUAACUGCCCACAGUGCCUGGACUUUGCAAUUCCUCUGUUAGCAUUUUGAGAAAAAUAAACUGAUACAUUUUCUGGAUUCAGCGUGGAAGAACAUCUUGUCCCUUGUUUCCUGAUGGUUAUUGCUGAACUUGUCUUGGAAUCAUAACAAGAACUGGAAGGGCUGGUCCAGCCACCACACUGGCUCUGUGGGGUUCCCUACAAGUGGUACCG